GCAGACCCCACUCUGAGAAUCACUGCUCCACAGCCCCCUACCUCGCGGAUCCCUCCGCCCAGAACUUGGACGAAUCAGAUGUGAGCGUGGGUCUACUCAGUAUAAAUAUUUUUAACCGAUCUGGAGACAUUCCACAGCAGAAACGUUACCAUAAUCACGCACCGUUAGCUGGGACCUAAAGUUACAGAUUAGGAGAAACAUCUUGCGGGUCUCACUGGCGCCCUGGACCCGGAUGCGACCUUCCCCGCCUCUCAUCCUCGGGGUCUCCCCCUGUUCUUCCCCCGCCGCACCCCACGCGGAGUCCACCCCCGCCUUGGCCUCGCAGCUGCACAGGCUGGAGUUCUUGCUGCACCUGUGCCUGCCGCGCAGUGCCCUUCAUACACCGAGCCUUAGCCGCCGACCCCAAGGGAUGUGCCUUCUGGUCACUGGCCCUCGUUUCUCGCCCUGGGCUUGGAUCAGCAUGGGUUGGCGUUCAGGUCUGAAGUAGGGCUGUGGCGGCGGAGGCCCAGGUGGACAGGCCUCCCUCGCUCCCGCUCUGGUCCUCAGUUUCCGCCUCUGUGCAAUGGGAACCAUGGACGAUAGGGCAGAGGUCCAAGCAGGGAGCUGGGAGCUGCUUCCUGGGUUCAGACCCCAGCCCUGUUGUUCCUGGCAACAUGAUCUUGGCAAGUUACCCCACCUCUGAGCCUCCUUUUCUUAGGUGUAUCAGCCGUGUGUGUGUGUGUGGGGGGGGGGGGGGAGGGCCCGAUGCGCUGGGGAGUGGAGAAGCCAGGGUGCCGCUGCUCUGGGGGUAAAGGUGCUCCAGCCUUAGCCAGGGGUCCUGCCUUAACCAAGGGCAAAUUGUAUUUAAAAAUCACGCUUAAGGAGUUCCCAUUAUGGCACAGCAGAAACAAAUCCAGCUAGUAUCCAUGAGGAUGCAGGUUCAAUCCCUGUCCUCACACAGUAGGUUAAGGAUCUAGCCUUGCCAUGAGCUCUGGUGUAGGUCACAGAGGCAGCUCAGAUCAUGCAUUGCUUUGGCUGUGGUGUAGGCUGGCAGCUGUAGCUCUGAUUAGACCCCUAGCUUGGGAACCUCCAUAUGCCGCAGGUGCAGCCCUAAAGAGCAAAAAUAAAAAUAAAUAAAUAAAUGAAAAUCACACUUUCUUGCUAGAAACACCAAAUGUAUAGUAAAAAGUUGCCAAGCCCCUGGAACAGGCUCCUUCUGUUCACCUGCACCUGCUUCACCUGGUGGCGUUUCCCCUCUGGGCACAAACCACAGAGCAGUCCACACCUUCAAAGGAUUCUGGGGGAGAGAGUCGCUCACCUUUGGAGUCUCCGCUUGGGAAGAAGAGACUAGAAUGCUGUCCAGUCACCCUGACCCAGGUGACCCAACUGGCCUGAUAAGACAGAAAUGAUCCCAGAAAACACACUUGCCGUCUUCAUUUGUGUGACCCCUGGGGGUUAAGGAGCUGCCUGUUUCAGUUUUUACCCCUGUCUGCUGAUUAAAAGUGAGUUACGGAAGUCUGCUAGACAAAGCCAGGUCUAAUUUUGGCUGUCAUCACCCACAAACAUGGAAUAAACAGCUCAUCAUUCAUGUAUUCAGUCGAUGUACAGUUAUUAUACACCUGCUCUCGUGCCAGUAACAACUGUGCAUCUUUUCUUAUUGUAAGUAAAAGAAAUAUUUCAGUUAUUCUGGCUUCCUUUUUUCUAUAUAAUUUAAAUUAUUGUGUUCAUUAUGUUCAGCUCCAUAAAAUUCUGACGUGACAGGCAUUUCUAUAUUAUCUCGAGUUUGGUGCAUUGAGCCUAAAAUAACUAGUGAUGUUGGCUCUUAAAAUGAGAGAUGAUGUGGGGACUUGUGUUCUGAUCGGUUACUAAUACAAUUCCACAUGGAACUUUCUAUGAACUCUGCUGCGUAUUAUGUAUCUGUUGGACAACUGCUAUGGUCAAAGGCCUUGCAAACAUGAAGGGAUGCGCAUUAUUGUAACAUCUCUGUCCAGAGUUCACGUAAAGACACAGUGUUUCACCCCGUGUAUGUCAUUAGGAUACAUUGUGAAUCUUAGGAAUUUAGUGGAAGGCACAGCGGGCAUGGGCUUGGGUGUUAUCGGACCUGCGUGGACUUAGGUGUUAUCGGACCUGCCGUUGCAGGGCUGGGGUCUCACGCUGUAGCGGAUGGAUGGAGCCACACAAGGGCUGAGUGACUUGCUCAGGGUCAUGGCAGGGAAUUAAGUGAAGAGCGAGGCUAGAGCGCUGUCAGAGGACAGCGUCCCUGGACUCCGGGAAUAGUGACUGCCGACCAGCUAAGUUAACAGGCGACUGGUCUGCUCAGGCUGCCAUGGCAAAGUGCCCCAAUGGGGCUUAGACACCAGACAUUGGUUUCUCGUGGAGACUCAAAUUCUGAGGUCAAGGUGUCAACAGGGCUAGUUUCUGCUGAGGCCUCUGUCUUGAUGUGGAGACGGCCGUCUUCUUGCUGUGUGUGUGUGUGUGAGUGUGUGUGUUCCUGAUCUUCCUUCCUCUUCUAUAAGGACACCAGUCGUGCUGGAUUAGGAACCACCUAAUGGCCUCCUUUUACCCCGACCACCUCUUUAAAGACCUUAUCUCCAAAUCCAGUCACAUGCCAAGGUCCUGAGGGUUAGAACUUCAACCUGUGCGUUUCGUGGGGACAGAUUUCAGUCCAGCGGGAGAUGAGUUUCCAUUUAUGCGCAGAGCAGCUUUCUUGGCCAGAAGAAAGGACGAGGACAAAUAAGAGCGUCCUUCAAAAGCUCCCCUAUUUAAUCGCUGCAGAAACUUUGUGCCGCCCCUAAUCGCAGAGACAGGCCCUGGUCUGGAUGGAAUGGGGUUUCUGGGCCCAACCCUGCGGCAGCAAUCCCAUGGGAAGCUCCUUGCACACUCCUGCUUUUUAUGACUCCACCUGCCCUCCAGCCCAAGGGAGAUGGUCGGGGUUGAUUUGAUCGGGGGCCAGAGACGAGACUGGACAGAGGCGGCACCUCUACACUCCUUCCUGGCAGCGAGUAAGCGGUAAAGUCCCAGUGGAGAGAGAUGAUCCGGCCUGGCCAGUGGGGUUUAACUGUAAACCUCUUGAGGAUGAGAGGCUGUGUGGCACCCUCGCCAGCGCAGAGCCUCUCCGUGGUCCCUGGACGAAGAAGGCACUUCACCUGGUCCUCGGCCCGCCGGCCCCAGGUCCGCGCUGGCGGCUCUGAUGAGCAGCUCGGCUCAUCGCCCGCGCGUUGGGACAUGGUCCUGCUUCUCUCUGUCUUUACAAGGUCCUCCUGAACUCAACGCUGCUCCGUCUUCCCUGGACCGGCGAGCACACGGAGGUUCGCCAAGGGGAAGUGAGGGCCAGGGCCUGGGGCAUCUUUCCUGCAGGGAGCUCGCCCGUAAGGGUGCUGACUGGGGCCGGGGGAACCUGCGACCCUCAGGGGGCAGAGUGGGCAGUGCGGGCUCUGCAGGAGCCGGUGCAGGGGAGGGGUGGGGUGGCCCGUGCCAGGCAUCUUCAAGCCCCUUCUACGGGGUCACCUCUGGUGGAGAGAGUCUCAAAGGGGUGGCAUGUGUGACACAGAAGAGCUCACUUACUUACUCGUCAUGGGCAGGGAAGUCGUGCGUUCGUUCUUGGAGGAUUGCACCUCCAAGGUGAAAAUUUAUUCUAAAAACCUUCUGGCAGGAAGCAGGUGCUCACGCUCUGGGUGCGCUGCCCCCCAGGGUGUGUCCUCGAGGGGGAUGCGAGCGCUCCCAGCCGCCGGUUCUGCUGCAGGUGGGAGGGACACAGAAGGAUGCGCUGGCGGAAGCGCAGUGGGAUCGGUUCACCUGCCCACACGCCCUGCGUCCAGGAAGUUUAGGGGACCUGGCGGGCUGCUGACCGGAAGGCUGGGCUCCUUUCCUGGGUGAGCCUUUUGGGACGGACUUAAGCUCACCUGACUCGCCAGUGUCAGAAAUACAGAAACCUGCCAAGUCUGACCCCCUAUUAAACUCAGCGCGAAAGAGGACGUUGGGAGCCUUGGCUGUAGACGUAGCCAAACCCUGAAACUCCACUGACAAAUGCCUGAGGAGCUCUGCUGACUUUGAGAGGCCUCCUCUAUUUUUUUGGCUCCCCUGUCCCAUCAGAACAAAAAUCUGUUUUUCUGCUCACACAAUGUCACGGGACUUGUAAAAGCUUGACGGGGAUGACGACUCAAACAAGGGGAUUGAAUAAUGUUCUCUGGGGCGCAGCCCAAGUGCCUUCGAGCUUAUGUUUUAAAAAAUAACGUUCUUGUAUCCUUCAGAUGCUCCGCAUGCGAAGCAUGUCUGCCUGUUUAGCGCAUAAACAGAACGAGGGCAAGACGCAAUGAUGGAUUUGCACUAACUCUUUUGGGCUAAACAGCCAAGUAUAGUUUUUUGUUUGCUUUUUAUCCUCAAAUAUGGAAAAGCAAACAGAAAACGCAUCAUGUUACAGAAUGAUACACUCUGUUGAGAAAUAGUGGGGGAUGUGGAAAUGCCUAUUCUGGGGCUGGGAUGGUCCCCCUCCCCCAAGGUGGCAAAGCUGGGGGCUGCAGGUGUUCAGAGGAGGUCAAGGUCUUCCUCCAAAGCAAACAUCCCUGCGAGGCUGGGGGUCCCCGCUGCAGAGCCUGGGAAACAGCCGAGCUGCCCAGGAAAGAGUGUCCCUCAGCAGAGAGGACCGGGCCCCGUGACAGAGUUUAUGGGGAGAGGAAACGGGAGCUAUUUCGGGGCCUUCAUAUCUGCUUGUGCUGUGCAUCGUUUCCUCCCUGACACUUCCAGCUAAAGAAGCCAGUGUUUGUUUGAAGGUUAGAUUCCUAUGUAUUUUUAGCUGCCAUGAGACUGUGACCUGUUUCGGAGGCGUCUUUGAUAAAAUCAAAAUGAAAACUGAGCUCGGGUGAUUCUGCACAUUUUAGUGACACAGGAAAUUAGAAGCGAGGCUUCGUUUUCCAGGCUCAUGCUGUCUAAAUAUCCACUGUUUAAAUAUGUUGUGCUCACCCCAUCCUUUUCCUUUUGCUACUUUGAUGUUGCCUGUCAAUCAUCAGCAGUCAGUAGUGUAUUUCUCAUUACAAAGGGAAUUUGGUAAAAUUGUGAUUUCACUCUUUUUUUUUUUUUAACCUUUGUAUUUUGCUUCUUUAUAACCAAGUAUUUUCAUGAUUCUUUCCAACCACUUUGGUAAACCAACAAUCAGAAAAGUGGGUUUCAGGAGUCCCCAUCGUGUCUUGGUGGUUAAUGAAUCUGACUAGGAACCAUGAGGUUGCAGGUUCAAUCCCUGGCCUUGCUCAGUGGGUUAACGAUCCACCGUUGCCGUGAGCUGUGGUGUGGGUUGCAGACGCGGCUUGGAUCCCGCGUUGCUGUGGCUUUGAUGUAGGCCAGCUGCUACAGCACUGAUUCAACCCCUAGCCUAUGAACCUCCAUAUGACAUGGGUGCGGCCCUAAAAAGACCAAAAAAAAAAAAAAAAGAAAAGAAAAGAAAAA
rnacentral:lncRNA from 1 species